ACUACGGGGUGCUGCAGUGGGGAAUAUUGCGCAAUGGGCGAAAGCCUGACGCAGCGACGCCGCGUGAGGGAUGAAGGUCUUCAGAUCGUAAACCUCUGUCAGCAGGGAAGAACGGUCACUGUGCUAAUCAGCAGUGAAUUGACGGUACCUGCAAAGGAAGCACCGGCUAACUCCGUGCCAGCAGCCGCGGUAAUACGGAGGGUGCGAGCGUUAAUCGGAAUUACUGGGCGUAAAGCGCUCGUAGGCGGUAUGUCAAGUCAAGGGUGAAAUCCCCGCGCUCAACGUGGGAACUGCCUUUGAAACUGGCAAACUGGAGUGUGUGAGAGGAUAGUGGAAUUCCAGGUGUAGGAGGGAAAUCCGUAGAUAUCUGGAGGAACAUCAGUGGCGAAGGCGACUAUCUGGCACAUAACUGACGCUGAGGAGCGAAAGCGUGGGUAGCAAACAGGAUUAGAUACCCCAGUAGUC
rnacentral:rRNA from 1 species